rnacentral:rRNA from 1 species
UACGUAGGUGGCAAGCGUUGUCCGGAUUUACUGGGCGUAAAGAGCGCGCAGGCGGUCGUUCAAGUCGAGUGUGAAAGCCCCCGGCUCAACUGGGGAGGGUCAUUCGAUACUGAUCGACUCGAAGGCAGGAGAGGGAAGCGGAAUUCCCGGUGUAGCGGUGAAAUGCGCAGAUAUCGGGAAGAACACCCGUGGCGAAGGCGGUUCUCUGGGACGGUACUGACGCUGAGACGCGAAAGUGUGGGGAGCGAACAGG